CCUACGGGAGGCAGCAGUAGGGAAUAUUGCUCAAUGGGGGAAACUCUGAAGCAGCGACGCCGCGUGGAGGAUGAAGGUUUUCGGAUUGUAAAAUCCUUUUGUUAGAGAAGAUAAUGACGGUAUCUAACGAAUAAGCACCGGCUAACUUCGUGACAGCAGCCGCGGUAAUAUGGAGGGAGCAAGCGUUACUCGGAAUAACUGGGCGUAAUGAGCGCGUAGGCGGGAUAGCAAGUCAGAUGUGAAAUCCUAGGGCUUAACCAUAGAACUGCCUUUGAAACUGGUAUUCUAGAGUAUGGGAGAGGUAGGUGGAAUUCUUGGUGUAGGGGUAAAAUCCGUAGAGAUCAAGAGGAAUACUCAUUGCGAAGGCGACCUGCUAGAACAUAACUGACGCUGAUGCGCGAAAGCGUGGGUAGCAAACAGGAUUAGAUACCCUAGUAGUC
rnacentral:rRNA from 1 species